rnacentral:rRNA from 1 species
UACGGAGGAUCCGAGCGUUAUCCGGAUUUAUUGGGUUUAAAGGGUGCGCAGGCGGACUGGUAAGUCAGGGGUGAAAUUCUACGGCUCAACUGUAGGCGUGCCUUUGAUACUGCCGGACUAGAGUUAAGUUGGAGUGGGCGGAAUGUGUUGUGUAGCGGUGAAAUGCUUAGAUAUAACACAGAACACCGAUCGCGAAGGCAGCUCACUAAACUUAGACUGACGCUCAUGCACGAAAGCGUGGGGAUCAAACAGG